rnacentral:rRNA from 1 species
GAUGAACGCUGGCGGCGUGCCUAAUACAUGCAAGUCGAGCGAACAGACGAGGAGCUUGCUCCUCCGACGUUAGCGGCGGACGGGUGAGUAACACGUGGAUAACCUACCUAUAAGACUGGGAUAACUUCGGGAAACCGGAGCUAAUACCGGAUAAUAUAUUGAACCGCAUGGUUCAAUAGUGAAAGACGGUUUUGCUGUCACUUAUAGAUGGAUCCGCGCCGCAUUAGCUAGUUGGUAAGGUAACGGCUUACCAAGGCGACGAUGCGUAGCCGACCUGAGAGGGUGAUCGGCCACACUGGAACUGAGACACGGUCCAGACUCCUACGGGAGGCAGCAGUAGGGAAUCUUCCGCAAUGGGCGAAAGCCUGACGGAGCAACGCCGCGUGAGUGAUGAAGGUCUUCGGAUCGUAAAACUCUGUUAUUGGGGAAGAACAAAUGUGUAAGUAACUAUGCACGUCUUGACGGUACCUAAUCAGAAAGCCACGGCUAACUACGUG